UGAACCAUUACACUAAGUAAAUUAAUAUAUGGGUGUUUGGAUAGGAAGGCUUUGCUCAAGAUUAUGAUCACUGAAUUUAUGCUAAGAAGGCAUCACAGCGGGAAGAGGAAGGAAUGCUGUAUUCAUCCACUGUUAUUCCACUGGUGCCGAGGACAAGCUGAGUAAGAGUGGAGCUCAGACCUGGGGUCAGAAGUCCCAUGAGAUAACAGUGAUUCGAUGUCCACUCUUAGGUCCCUUUCUAUAGAGUUGGACAAGUGUUCCCUUGCUCACCCUCCCAGCUCGAGUGCUGCAGGUUACAGGCCAUGCACAAAUCCUGUGAACAGCCUCUGUCUACUGUAAAAUACAAAAGGUUUAAAAUGCGAAAGAUUUUACCUGUUUUGUGAUUUGUGACGACACAACUAUAUCCAAAAUAAAAUUGGAUGUCAGAUGGCAAGAAGCUAUGGAUACUUUUUAUGAAUCUGAUUUCCAUACUUAUUACAACAGGAUUGGUGGCAUACGAAGGAGCCUGGUUUUCACUACAGCAACAGCAACAGACACCUUGGAGAAUCCCUGCAUUGGGACUAAUCUACAAGGAUUUCCAGAGAACAGUUUCUCCAAGUGCACACAGUGAUCCUAAGGUGCAUGAAGAUAGGAGCUAAAGAAGGAUUUGCGAAAACUAGUCACGGUGUGCAUCACAUACAAGCGGAACUUCCUGUUUGUAUCAAGCACAGGAGUCUUUUUUCAAGAUGUUGAGGAAGUGCUAUGCCUCUAGCCUAGAUGGAAAUGAUUCUCAGUUCAUGUAGAUUCCUCAGGCAGAAAAACAAAAAUCUGAAACAAAGGAUUGGGAAAAACAUAAGUGAAGCUGCACCUUUGAGAGCUGAAGCCAUGAACUAAAAUUGUGUAGGUUUCUCACGGCAUCUGUAUGGUGCUCUAAAAUAGUCAAGGUUGAUAUAAGAGUCUUUUUAACUGGCUAUGUGACUGGCAGUCUUAGUUCAUGGUCACUUCUCGUCAAUAGAUAAUUGUCACUAGAAAACAUUUGUGGAAGGAAAUUCUUGUUUGUUUUCCUUUUAUUAUCUGUUUUCCUUUAACUUUGCUAUUGCAGCAUGUGAGGAUGAGAUAGUCCGGCACGGGGAACAGCUGUUACUCAUUUUGGGAUGAACUGGAAACAUAGCUAUCUUUGAGUCAUUUCUGCUCAAGGAAGUGCUGAUUGAAAAGGAGAGCCCAAUACCUGCUAGUUAAGGAAGCAAAGUGCACAGUCACAAAGCCUGUUUCUAGUUCUGAGUUUCUGGAAUUAAUAGCAACUCACUGAGAAAAGAAGCUUCUCUGACCCCAGCUGAAGAGUAGCACUAAUCUCAGGCUAUAAACAUGAAUAUUUUCAAGAGGCACUGUUGUGUAACUGUUUCCUCCAAGAUCAAAAUCUUUUACCUUACAGGAAAGCUUGUUAAGACACAGGGUAUUAAAAAAAAGAUGCAGAAUAGCAAGAUAUUCCAAGAAUGAGUGAAAAUUCCCAUCCAGCCUGGAAGGUUAUUAUGGUCAAGCAGUACAUAGCUUAGAGACUUCAGGAAGCCCCUGAAACCAAAUAAAACAGAGUCCUUCCUCUCUGAAAAUAUACAGACUAUAAUGAGUAUUGAUAGGAACUCUCAAAUGAGUUAAGCAUACCUGGGAAAAAUAAAAACCAACCAGGCUCUCCAGAAGAGGCUCAGAGCAACUGAACUGCCUAAAAGAAGCCCUUUCCAUAUGUUGUGCUGUCUGCAGGCUGUGAAAAUUGUUCCAGGUCUCUAACUAUUACGCACUGUUAUUCAUUUUGCGGUGAACUGGUGACAUAGCUAUCUUUGUGUCAUUUCUGCUCCUGGAAGUAACACUUCAUCAAUAUUCUUAUAAGAACCACAUAGAAAUAAACCCCACUG